AUGUGCUCCUUCUGUGAUGAAAAGGAAACCUCACAACAUCUCUUUUUUACUUGCCCCGUGGCUAGAGUGAUGUGGAGAACAGUGGGCUGUGUGCUGGGCACGGAUCGUUGCCCUAGCAACAUCUGGCAAUAUUUUGCUUGGUGUUAUACCUUCCUUCCUGAUGGGGAAAGAUUUUAUACCUUUGGCCUAGCCGCUCUUUGCUGGGCAAUGUGGAAUAGCCGUAAUAAGAGAACUUUUGAUUCAAAAAGAUGA
rnacentral:rRNA from 1 species